CAGCAGCCGCGGUAAUACAGAGGGUGCGAGCGUUAAUCGGAUUUACUGGGCGUAAAGCGUGCGUAGGCGGCUUCUUAAGUCGGAUGUGAAAUCCCUGAGCUUAACUUAGGAAUUGCAUUCGAUACUGGGAAGCUAGAGUAUGGGAGAGGAUGGUAGAAUUCCAGGUGUAGCGGUGAAAUGCGUAGAGAUCUGGAGGAAUACCGAUGGCGAAGGCAGCCAUCUGGCCUAAUACUGACGCUGAGGUACGAAAGCAUGGGGAGCAAACAGGAUUAGAUACCCCCGUAGUCCCUGUUUCUUAUAC
rnacentral:rRNA from 1 species